rnacentral:rRNA from 1 species
GAUGAACGCUGGCGGCGUGCCUAAUACAUGCAAGUCGAGCGAACGGACGAGAAGCUUGCUUCUCUGAUGUUAGCGGCGGACGGGUGAGUAACACGUGGAUAACCUACCUAUAAGACUGGGAUAACUUCGGGAAACCGGAGCUAAUACCGGAUAAUAUUUUGAACCGCAUGGUUCAAAAGUGAAAGACGGUCUUGCUGUCACUUAUAGAUGGAUCCGCGCUGCAUUAGCUAGUUGGUAAGGUAACGGCUUACCAAGGCAACGAUGCAUAGCCGACCUGAGAGGGUGAUCGGCCACACUGGAACUGAGACACGGUCCAGACUCCUACGGGAGGCAGCAGUAGGGAAUCUUCCGCAAUGGGCGAAAGCCUGACGGAGCAACGCCGCGUGAGUGAUGAAGGUCUUCGGAUCGUAAAACUCUGUUAUUAGGGAAGAACAUAUGUGUAAGUAACUGUGCACAUCUUGACGGUACCUAAUCAGAAAGCCACGGCUAACUACGUGCCAGCAGCCGCGGUAAUACGUAGGUGGCAAGCGUUAUCCGGAAUUAUUGGGCGUAAAGCGCGCGUAGGCGGUUUUUUAAGUCUGAUGUGGAAGCCCACGGCUCAACCGUGGAGGGUCAUUGGAAACUGGAAAACUUGAGUGCAGAAGAGGAAAGUGGAAUUCCAUGUGUAGCGGUGAAAUGCGCAGAGAUAUGGAGGAACACCAGUGGCGAAGGCGACUUUCUGGUCUGUAACUGACGCUGAUGUGCGAAAGCGUGGGGAUCAAACAGGAUUAGAUACCCUGGUAGUCCACGCCGUAAACGAUGAGUGCUAAGUGUUAGGGGGUUUCCGCCCCUUAGUGCUGCAGCUAACGCAUUAAGCACUCCGCCUGGGGAGUACGACCGCAAGGUUGAAACUCAAAGGAAUUGACGGGGACCCGCACAAGCGGUGGAGCAUGUGGUUUAAUUCGAAGCAACGCGAAGAACCUUACCAAAUCUUGACAUCCUUUGACAACUCUAGAGAUAGAGCCUUCCCCUUCGGGGGACAAAGUGACAGGUGGUGCAUGGUUGUCGUCAGCUCGUGUCGUGAGAUGUUGGGUUAAGUCCCGCAACGAGCGCAACCCUUAAGCUUAGCUGCCAUCAUUAAGUUGGGCACUCUAAGUUGACUGCCGGUGACAAACCGGAGGAAGGUGGGGAUGACGUCAAAUCAUCAUGCCCCUUAUGAUUUGGGCUACACACGUGCUACAAUGGACAAUACAAAGGGCAGCGAAACCGCGAGGUCAAGCAAAUCCCAUAAAGUUGUUCUCAGUUCGGAUUGUAGUCUGCAACUCGACUACAUGAAGCUGGAAUCGCUAGUAAUCGUAGAUCAGCAUGCUACGGUGAAUACGUUCCCGGGUCU